rnacentral:misc_RNA from 1 species
GAAAUGCGAUAAGUAAUGUGAAUUGGAGAAUUCAGUGAAUCAUCGAAUCUUUGAACGCACAUUGCGCCCGCCAGUAUUCUGGCGGGCAUGCCUGUCCGAGCGUCAUUUCAACCAUCAAGCCCCCGGGCUUGUGUUGGGGACCUGCGGCUGCCCGCAGGCCCUGAAAACCAGUGGCGGGCUCGCUGUCACACCGAGCGUAGUAGCAAUCACCUCGCUCAGGGCGUGCUGCGGGUUCCGGCCGUUAAACAGCCUUACAAAACCCAAGGUUGACCUCGGAUCAGGUAGGAAGACCCGCUGAACUUAAGC